rnacentral:rRNA from 1 species
UGACUGCGUACCUUUUGUAUAAUGGGUCAGCGACUUAUAUUCUGUAGCAAGGUUAACCGAAUAGGGGAGCCGAAGGGAAACCGAGUCUUAACUGGGCGUUAAGUUGCAGGGUAUAGACCCGAAACCCGGUGAUCUAGCCAUGGGCAGGUUGAAGGUUGGGUAACACUAACUGGAGGACCGAACCGACUAAUGUUGAAAAAUUAGCGGAUGACUUGUGGCUGGGGGUGAAAGGCCAAUCAAACCGGGAGAUAGCUGGUUCUCCCCGAAAGCUAUUUAGGUAGCGCCUCGUGAAUUCAUCUCCGGGGGUAGAGCACUGUUUCGGCAAGGGGGUCAUCCCGACUUACCAACCCGAUGCAAACUGCGAAUACCGGAGAAUGUUAUCACGGGAGACACACGGCGGGUGCUAACGUCCGUCGUGAAGAGGGAAACAACCCAGACCGCCAGCUAAGGUCCCAAAGUCAUGGUUAAGUGGGAAACGAUGUGGGAAGGCCCAGACAGCCAGGAUGUUGGCUUAGAAGCAGCCAUCAUUUAAAGAAAGCGUAAUAGCUCACUGGUCGAGUCGGCCUGCGCGGAAGAUGUAACGGGGCUAAACCAUGCACCGAAGCUGCGGCAGCGACGCUUAUGCGUUGUUGGGUAGGGGAGCGUUCUGUAAGCCUGUGAAGGUGUACUGUGAGGUAUGCUGGAGGUAUCAGAAGUGCGAAUGCUGACAUAAGUAACGAUAAAGCGGGUGAAAAGCCCGCUCGCCGGAAGACCAAGGGUUCCUGUCCAACGUUAAUCGGGGCAGGGUGAGUCGACCCCUAAGGCGAGGCCGAAAGGCGUAGUCGAUGGGAAACAGGUUAAUAUUCCUGUACUUGGUGUUACUGCGAAGGGGGGACGGAGAAGGCUAUGUUGGCCGGGCGACGGUUGUCCCGGUUUAAGCGUGUAGGCUGGUUUUCCAGGCAAAUCCGGAAAAUCAAGGCUGAGGCGUGAUGACGAGGCACUACGGUGCUGAAGCAACAAAUGCCCUGCUUCCAGGAAAAGCCUCUAAGCAUCAGGUAACAUCAAAUCGUACCCCAAACCGACACAGGUGGUCAGGUAGAGAAUACCAAGGCGCUUGAGAGAACUCGGGUGAAGGAACUAGGCAAAAUGGUGCCGUAACUUCGGGAGAAGGCACGCUGAUAUGUAGGUGAAGUCCCUCGCGGAUGGAGCUGAAAUCAGUCGAAGAUACCAGCUGGCUGCAACUGUUUAUUAAAAACACAGCACUGUGCAAACACGAAAGUGGACGUAUACGGUGUGACGCCUGCCCGGUGCCGGAAGGUUAAUUGAUGGGGUCAGCGCAAGCGAAGCUCUUGAUCGAAGCCCCGGUAAACGGCGGCCGUAACUAUAACGGUCCUAAGGUAGCGAAAUUCCUUGUCGGGUAAGUUCCGACCUGCACGAAUGGCGUAAUGAUGGCCAGGCUGUCUCCACCCGAGACUCAGUGAAAUUGAACUCGCUGUGAAGAUGCAGUGUACCCGCGGCAAGACGGAAAGACCCCGUGAACCUUUACUAUAGCUUGACACUGAACAUUGAGCCUUGAUGUGUAGGAUAGGUGGGAGGCUUGGAAGUGUGGACGCCAGUCUGCAUGGAGCCGACCUUGAAAUACCACCCUUUAAUGUUUGAUGUUCUAACGUUGACCCGUAAUCCGGGUUGCGGACAGUGUCUGGUGGGUAGUUUGACUGGGGCGGUCUCCUCCUAAAGAGUAACGGAGGAGCACGAAGGUUGGCUAAUCCUGGUCGGACAUCAGGAGGUUAGUGCAAUGGCAUAAGCCAGCUUGACUGCGAGCGUGACGGCGCGAGCAGGUGCGAAAGCAGGUCAUAGUGAUCCGGUGGUUCUGAAUGGAAGGGCCAUCGCUCAACGGAUAAAAGGUACUCCGGGGAUAACAGGCUGAUACCGCCCAAGAGUUCAUAUCGACGGCGGUGUUUGGCACCUCGAUGUCGGCUCAUCACAUCCUGGGGCUGAAGUAGGUCCCAAGGGUAUGGCUGUUCGCCAUUUAAAGUGGUACGCGAGCUGGGUUUAGAACGUCGUGAGACAGUUCGGUCCCUAUCUGCCGUGGGCGCUGGAGAACUGAGGGGGGCUGCUCCUAGUACGAGAGGACCGGAGUGGACGCAUCACUGGUGUUCGGGUUGUCAUGCCAAUGGCACUGCCCGGUAGCUAAAUGCGGAAGAGAUAAGUGCUGAAAGCAUCUAAGCACGAAACUUGCCCCGAGAUGAGUUCUCCCUGACUCCUUGAGAGUCCUGAAGGAACGUUGAAGACGACGACGUUGAUAGGCCGGGUGUGUAAGCGCAGCGAUGCGUUGAGCUAACCGGUACUAAUGAACCGUGAGG